rnacentral:rRNA from 1 species
GAUGAACGCUAGCGGCAGGCUUAAUACAUGCAAGUCGAGGGAGAAUGGGGCUUCGGCCCCAGGGAACCGGCGCACGGGUGCGUAACGCGUACACAACAUGCCUUAUACUGGAGUAUAGCCUCGGGAAACUGGGAGUAAUCCUCCAUAACAUUAUCGGGUGGCAUCACCUGGUAAUUAAAGCUCAGGCGGUAUAAGAUUGGUGUGCGUAUGAUUAGCUAGUUGGUAGGGUAACGGCCUACCAAGGCGACGAUCAUUAGCUGGCGUGAGAGCGCGACCAGCCACACUGGAACUGAGACACGGUCCAGACUCCUACGGGAGGCAGCAGUAGGGAAUAUUGGACAAUGGGCGAAAGCCUGAUCCAGCCAUGCCGCGUGAUGGAUGAAGGCCCUCUGGGUUGUAAACAUCUUUUAUCAGGGAAGAAACACCCCGUUUCUACGGGAUUUGACGGUACCUGAUGAAUAAGCACCGGCUAACUCCGUGCCAGCCGCCGCCGUAACAC